rnacentral:lncRNA from 1 species
CGGGUCCGGCGUCGAUCCGGAUGCCCGAGGCAGAAGGAUGUUUGACCUCCGGAUAAGCGAGGCGCUGCUGUGCAUUCAUUCCGGGCUGCAUCGGUGGCGACAGCAGAGGCUCGGGCGGCGACUCUCCGGCCAGCGGCGGCGGUAGGAGGCACCAGCGGCAGUGCAGGGACCGAAUCCGAGCAGCGCUGCGUUACCUCUCUCUCUCGCUCCUUCCCCCCUACCUCGCUCGCUCGCUCGCUCGCUCCCUGCGUGGCUCGCUUUCCUCCUCCGGCCGCCGGCGGGUGUGAUGUGCCGCCGCCGCUGCCCCCGCCGGCGCUGACGGACUGGGGGCGCCGCCCGCGCCCGGGACCGACCCCUCUGCUCGCGGCCGCGCCUUUGAGCUCUCUAUCAAUAUCAGCUCACAUCAUUGAAAAGAUAAUUUUGAAGACAUGUUUUGCUGAAAAGACACUAAGAAAAAUUUUACGAAUGGGAUGAACAUGCUCCAGUUAAUUGACUACCUACUGCAAUUUGAAUGUUAACAUUACCCAUCUGGUACAGUUACCUAGUGAUGUACCUAUUUUCACAAUACCCUGUUUCAGUGUGCUUGUCUUGAUUAAAGAAUUCAAAGUGGAGUACCGCAAACUUGAUAUGGAAAAUAAAAAGAAAGACAAGGACAAAUCAGAUGAUAGAAUGGCACGACCUAGUGGUCGAUCGGGACACAACACUCGAGGAACUGGGUCUUCAUCGUCUGGAGUUUUAAUGGUUGGACCUAACUUUAGAGUUGGAAAAAAAAUUGGAUGUGGCAAUUUUGGAGAAUUACGAUUAGACCAGAGGGAGAAACCCGAAGGCUGUCAGGGUACCUCUGCAUCCUUAAUAUGUGACUUCCGUCUCUGUGCACAAGGUAAUUGCUUUAGCUGUUUCCAUCUCCCAGCCAGGAAGAAUAAAGAAAAAAAGG